rnacentral:rRNA from 1 species
GUGAGGAAUAUUGGUCAAUGGGCGGAAGCCUGAACCAGCCAAGUAGCGUGCAGGAAGACGGCCCUACGGGUUGUAAACUGCUUUUAUGCGGGGAUAAAGUGCAAUACGUGUAUUGCUUUGCAGGUACCGCAUGAAUAAGGACCGGCUAAUUCCGUGCCAGCAGCCGCGGUAAUACGGAAGGUCCGGGCGUUAUCCGGAUUUAUUGGGUUUAAAGGGAGCGCAGGCCGCCCCUUAAGCGUGUUGUGAAAUGCCGCGGCUCAACCGUGGCACUGCAGCGCGAACUGGGGGGCUUGAGUGCGCCGGAGGUAGGCGGAAUUCGUGGUGUAGCGGUGAAAUGCUUAGAUAUCACGAAGAACUCCGAUUGCGAAGGCAGCCUACCGUAGCGUUACUGACGCUGAGGCUCGAAGGUGCGGGUAUCGAACAGGAUUAGAAACCCCUGUAGUCC